AGUCCCGCCGAGAGCCGCACUGAAGAGCCCCAGCCUGGCCGUCCCGCGGUUUCCCGCCGCCUCACCAGUCUCGGGCGGGAGGGGCCCCGGCGCUGGCGUGGCCGCGGCUCCCACAACGCAGCCAGGACUGCACUCGGGGCUGCUGGGGCCCGCGUGCGUCCCGGGCGGCUCCACGCGUCGGGGUCGCCCCCGCGCCUCCCACCCCCGGCCUCUCGGGGCCGCCGGCUCGCGCGCCUUCCAGGCGAAGGCCAGAGGCCGCAGUGAGGGGCACCGAGUGGCGGGCUCCUCCGCACCACCCCCGGGCUUUAUAAUAAAAGUCGCCGUUGUUUAAGAGCCAGGUCGGAGGCGCCGCUUUCUGGGCGGUGAAAGCCGAAGCGAGAGCGGGCAAUUCGCUGCGGCGGCGGCCGCUUCCUGGGCGUCGGUCCAGUGCCCCGGCCCGGCCUGGGAGACCCGCACCAACCCCGGGAGGGAGGACGGGGCGCGGGCGCAGCCUAGGGGCCGAAGCACUGCACGCACGGCCGGCGCGGGGGCAGAGGGGAGACAGGGAAGCCUGAGCUCCGCGCUGCUGAAGGCUCCGGGGAUGGGUGGGCGGCGGUGAGGUAGUCUUGCCCGGGCCCUGCCCGCGUGGGCGCUUUCUGAGUCUCUGUCGCGUGACGGAGGCGGGACCUAGGCUGUGUCUCCUGCGGGGCGAAAGCACGGAAGAGAUCCGAGGGCAUUUCUUGAGCCUGGCAGGAGGCCAGGGGUUUUACAGGGCAGGAAGGAACCUGGAGGAACCGAGGAGCCACGUUGUUGGUUGGAAAGAAGGGUGGCCAGGUGGGGAGGAGUCUGGCAAAGGGUCCCAGACAGCAGGAAGGGCACCUGUGAAGCCGCCCUGCCGAGUGUGUGGUAGAGGCGGGGUGAAAUGAGCACUGCUCAUAAAAGUGACUGUUGUGAUUUUUUAUGAGAUGGAGUCUCGCUCUGUCGCCCAGGCUGGAGUGCAGGGGAGCAACCUCGGCUCACUGCAACCUCCGCCUCCCGGGUUCACGCCAUUCUCCUGCCUCGGCCUCCCCAGUAGCUAAGAUUACAAGGCGCCCGCCACCACGCCCGGCUAAUUUUUUUGUAGUUUUAGUAGAGACGGGGUUUUGCCAUGUUGGCCAGGCUGGUCUCAAACUCCUGAGCUCAAGUGAUCCGCCCCUCUCGGCCUCCCAAAGUGCUGGGAUUACAUGCGUGAGCCCCCAGCCUAAAAGUGACUGUUUACUACAAUAAGUACAAAUAAUAGGUGACCAGCACUUGUCUGCUGAGGCCCUGGGGCUGGGUGUGUUUAGGGGACCCCUCUCCUCUCCAGGCCCUCCCCAAGCCUGCCCACUGAUGGGGAAGCUGCAGGGCUAUCCCUCCAAGGGGAGGCCCUGCCAGGCCAGGGAAGGUCCAAGUGGGUGCUCACCAAGCUUCCUAGGUUCCCAGUUUUCUUGAAACCAUCUUCCCAGCACAGUCAUCUCCCGUGGUUGCCUUUAGCAAGUCACAUCCCCUGACUCUUUAACAUCUCGGUCCUGGCAGUUUCUUGGUAUGGCACCAUCUCCCUAUGUGGACCACAGGUUAUCUAUCACACUGACCCGCUGUCCCUCACACACAGUCACUCACCUGUGACACUUGGAAAGGACUAGCUCCACAGGCCUGGCCAGGGCCCAAAGGGAGGUGGCCAGCAAUCGAAAUCAACCCUGAUGACUAAGUAGAAAAGGAGUCCUUGGGAGUAUUGUGGGGAGCUCAGGGAGCUGACCAGGAGUCUGGAUGGCCACAGCCACAGCCGGGGACAGUCUUGGGAGGUGACUGUGGUCACCACCACUACUGGGCUGCAGCAUCGCUGAAUGCAGCCCCUGCCACAACUCCACAGGCAUUGGCUGUAAUGAUGGGCGGGGGUGCUGGGCACCACAGCGGGGAGGGAGGGCUCCUGUCCCUGCAUCUUUGCCUGGGUUAGCCAGAUGCCCAGGAAGGGAGAAGGAAUGCUGCCCCCUUUAGCCUUUGAGGUGGGAGGAGGGGCCCUGGCUCCCAUGACAGCUCACAAAAUGGGGAUUGCCCCUUACUAGGAGCGGUGUGCGGAUGCUGAUCAGCCCACCGAAUGCUCACCACUGAGGGGCUGCAGCGGCCAGGUGUGAGGGGAAGAGACUGCAGAGAGGUGACAAGGCCGUCAAAGGAGAGGAGCCACCACUGGGGAGCCUGGUGGCUCAGGAAGGCAGCUGGUGUGGGUGUGGGAGAGUCGGAUCAGAAGGCCAGCACUGCUCAUCAUGGAGCACCUGGGAGAGCAGCAGCGACUCAGCUCCUGGCACCAGGUGAGGCAGGAAAAUAGGGUCUGGAGGCAGGGAACAUAAGGCUCAUUCACACUUCAGCUAUAACCGGAAAUAUCCUCUCCAUAGGGCAUAUCAGGUAAAUGACUUUGUAACUUUACUUCAUCCUCUCUGUUUAUAUAGGGCAUACCCGAAGUAACCAAUGAAUCCUCUAGGGGGUAUUUAAACUCCCCCAAAUUCUGUAACAGGGCCUUUUGAAUCCUACACUCAGGCCCAUUCCCACACAGUGGAGUGUACUUUCAUUUUCAAUAAAAUCUUCAUUCCUUCCUUGCUUUGUUUGUGUGUCUCUUCCAAUUCUUUGUUCAAGAUGCCAAGAACCUGGACACUCUCCACCUUUAACACAGGGGUUGUUUAAUUUACCUUUUGCCUUAGAAAUAUAAAAAGAUACACAGUAAAGGUGUGUAAAAGGAAAGGCCUCUUUCACCCUUACCCCACCCCCAUCCCUCCCUAAAGGUCCCUGUGAUUAGCUUGGUGUGUGUCCAGCCCUCCCUCUGCAUUUCACACGGAUAUGCGAACAGUGGAUCAGGCUUGGGUUUGUUUCUUCCAAUAAACGGCAUCAUGCGGUAUGUAUUGUUCUUUAAUGUGCUUUUGGAGACGUUUCCAAUCCAGCAAACCCUUUUAUCCAUUUCAUAAUAUUCCGUAGAAUGCAUGCUCCCCAUCUUGAGGGAAGUUUGGGUUGUUUCAUUCUGCUUUGUUAGGACGAAUGCCUGCUUUUGUGCACACAGUUGAGUAUGGG
rnacentral:lncRNA from 1 species